ACUACUGACAUGAAACACAUUUCACUUCGUAUUCUGUGCCAUGUAGUGCCACACAUUUUAUACUUGAGCUUUGGUUUGAGGCUUUGUCGGUUUGAGUCAGUGCUCGUGUCCUGUGGUAGAUAUAACAAAAAUUUGUGCGAAUUAUAGGAAAAACGCGUUUUUCCUUAUAAUUUCGUCAAAUUUGCGUUGUGCGUGUUAGUAGUGUGUGGCUUCGUUGAGUAGUUUUUUUCCCGGCUGCUUUGCUGCGCUUCCUGUUGUUGGUUGUUGCAUAUUAUCGUAUCCCUACAUCGUUACAUAUCAGAACAGUUUAUUACUGUGUAUUAAAUUGUACAUUUCCAGUUAUCGCUUGGAGUGUUCUGUAUGUUAUAUUCCCGUAUUUUAAUUUGUUGUCGAUAUACCAGUAUAUUCAAGAGGCACACCAUCCGGCAUCCAGUCAUAUAAUUAUAAUAUCCGUGUGUCAACCAUCGCAUAACGAAAGAGCGUCAUCUUGUUACAUCAAUACCUUAUCAGAAAAUAUCAGGAAAAUAUAUUUGACAAGUGAAACACGGCGACGAAAUACUCACCCAUAUACCGUCAAUUAUUGUGUCUGUAGCGUGGUUAUUUCCUGUGUGUGAAUUAUAUUCCAUACAAUUUUGAAUGAAGAUGGCAACGGCAACGGUUAACGGUCUUGGCUUGGAUCCCUCUCCGACUAAUCCGAAUACAUCCUCCAAUUCUGCAUCGGGUUCUUCUUCCCCUGGACCAACAUCCAACCAUAUACAGAGUAUAACCGAUGUAUCCAACGGCUUUAAUGGCAACAAAAUAAUAAACAUGCCUAAAGACAGCGAUGCCAUCAAAUUGUUCGUCGGCCAAAUUCCCCGGCAUUUAAUGGAAAAAGAUCUCAAGCCUCUUUUUGAACAGUUUGGAAAAAUACACGAACUCAUUGUGCUUAAAGACAAGUAUACUGGAGUACACAAAGGUUGCGCAUUCCUUACAUACUGUGACCGCGAAAGUGCUAUCAGAUGUCAGAACACCCUUCAUCAACAAAAAACCCUUCCUGGGAUGACACGACCAAUUCAAGUGAAGCCGGCGGAUAGUGAAUCCCGAGCCGAGGAUCGAAAGCUCUUUGUGGGCAUGCUGGGAAAACAGCAGACGGAAGAGGAUGUUCGUAAAUUAUUUGAGCCAUACGGAAACAUCGAGGAGUGUACGGUGCUGCGCAAUAACGAAGGAUCUAGUCGAGGCUGUGCCUUUGUCAAAUUCUCCACUCCUGCUGAAGCACAGUCAGCAAUUUCCGCCUUACACGGAGCACAAACAAUGCCUGGAGCAUCGUCGAGCCUGGUGGUCAAAAUUGCUGAUACGGAAAAAGAACGCCAAGUUCGACGCAUGCAACAAAUGGCAAGCCACAUGGGACUGAAUAGUUUACUGAAUCCUUUGCUCCUCAACGCCUCCGCCAAUGCGUACGCUCAGCAAGCGGCACUCAUGGGAAUGAAUUCACUGAACUCCAGCCCCUUCGUUAACCCGGUGCUGAGCGCAGCCGCCGCGGGUUCGCAGUUCAACAGCUUGGGCACGACAUCCAUGGGCACCGUGGGCGGCAGUCAGAACCUGAGCAAUCCGCUCAGUCAUCUGUCCGGCAACAGUUUCAGUAACGCCAGCCUACCCGGAAGUAUGCCGUCGCUCGAUGCACUGGCGCUGCAAGCCCAAGCGGCCCAUCAGUUUGCCCCAGGUAGAUCAUCACGGGACUCCGUCGAAAGUUCCGUCGCGCGCGGUCACGUGCUGCAGAAGAAACGGAAAGAGUGUGGUGUAUCUGGUGGAAAUACGAUGCACAGUGGGGAUAAUAUGAACCAAAGUUUUCCGCAUUCGCUGAAUCAGUAUCAGGGUAUCAGUUUAUACUCCGGACAUGGCGAUGCUAACGCAUGCCGUCGAUAUUUUGCGGCCUGAUGCGUUAAAAGCCGCAGUUGGGUUCGUUUUCCACGAUCGCCGCUUCUCUCAUGCUAUCAUCGGGUGGUGGAUGUGGAAAACCCCAAUGUUUAACCCGAUCAGUCUCUACACAUGCUUCUCUCUUCAAGUUGACUUGAUUUUGCACACUUCCUACACCAAAUAAACCUUUUAUAUCCACAGCUAUAAACACUCUAGCCUCUUUUAAAGCAGAUGAUUUACUUUCAUUUUAUACUGCUCAUCAUUAUUACUUAUUCAUCGGUUUCAUUUUGGCCAACUCUUAACUCUUCGCCGGCACAACCGGGUAUAACUAUCCUACAAAUCAGCUACGCAUUUAAUACGAGCUCGUACAAUACAAUUUGCUGUUACCUUGUUUGCGUAUGCAAAACAUUUUAAACGUAAAAUAUUGUUUUAGGAAACGUUUAUACCAUUUACAUAAGACAUGAAGCUACAUACUCACUAAUAUUCUUGUGGAGCAAAUGCGGAUCAUUUUCUAAUACAGAUCUGUGUUGAGUCAGAGUUCGUUUGCGUUCUUGGGUGGUGCUGCUUAUCUCCAAUUUUAGAGCAUAUUGGCACUUACAAUAAUAACUGCCAAACUUAUUGUUAUUUUUGAGUUAACAGUCUUCCUUGAAAUUUAUAACGGUGCUCCGUUUCGGUUGCAGGUUUGUGGGUAUGACAGUUCCGCAAAUGCUCAGGCCGCACUUUCCGCUCUCAAUAAUUACCAAAUGGGACAAAAGCGUAUGAAAGUACAAUUAAAAAAGCCCAAAGACUCCAAUGGUCGCAUGUUUUAAUCAGCGAUCGAUUAAAUUAUGUAUGCUCCGAUAUUUAGCAAGAUUACUUAUAUUACAAUUAUCUCACAACAUAUAUCCAUAAUUUUCCAUUAUCUUUCCUUAUGGCGACCCGGAUGCUCAACUGUGCCGGCGGAAGUAUUCAUACGCAACCUUUUGUUAUUAAUAUACCUACAGUGCUGCGGGAUAGUCAGAAAUCCCAUAACUGAAUGGCUCAGUUCCAAGCUUCCAGUUUUUGAGUGUGUGCCAUAUAUGUUUGAGAAUGAAUACUGGGCCAAGCAGAAUGUUGGACAAUUUUUUGCACAUCAAAACGUGGAGAGAGAGAGACUGAUGGCCGUCAGUUGGUUUUUACCAAAUGAUUUUAGGAUUUUUCACUGUUUUACCAAAGUUCUUACUUUAUUCAGCAGACAGUUUUUUUUCGUUUUAUAUUUUACAGACGAUAUAUCAUUUACGUUGUUAUACUUAAAUAAACUGCUUGUAACGGCUUAUGCAAUAUGCUGUGUAUUUUGCCGUCUUCGUUGAAUGCUUUAGAUUUCAAACUGACCAACUGUUGCCGAAAUUCUAAUCCUGAAGUUGUUUUAGCUGGUAUGGUGUGUCACGUAUUUAACCCGUAUUUAAGUGCGCUGUUGUUCAUUGCUGUUCAUAUUUAGCCUUUUACGUUUUAUUUUGUUUUUUAAAGCAAAUAAAAUUUGUCUGUGGAA